AUACUCUGGUUUCUCUUCAGAACGCAUAAAUCUUUCGCCUUUUACUAAAGAUUUCCGUGGAGAGAAACAAUUAAAAAAAAAAUGAAACUCCUGAUGUUAAUGAAACUUUUCUUCAGUU